GAUUCCUGCAGUUUGAGGAAAGGAAUCUUUAUCGUGUGUGGCAGAAAGGGUGUGCCAUGUUCAUUUUCAGUCUUGUUCCAGGAUUUACAGCAGGUACACCUGUGCCUUUUCUUGACAGUGAAGUUUUAAAUAUAGGAAAUCCUCAGUCAUCACUUUGCCACUUUGAGGUAUGACCUCUUCUCGUAGCAAUGAGUUAGAGCGUGCUUACUAGAAGGGAUGAAAAUCAAACCACGCUCUUGGAAUCACUGUGUUACCCUGCCUUUUUUUUUUUAAUUUUGUGUAUCGAAAUGGUUGCAUCCUUGGGACUUGAGCCUUACUAGCCUGAGCUGCCUCUCUUGCAGGGGAGGUGCGUAGUACAGGACCGCAUCUCGAGGGCUCCCUGCGUGUGUGCUCUGUGCUUCAGGAUAUGGGCACCUGGAGACUGAAGACUUGGAGGAGAGAUGCAAGAUGUGAUUUCAAAGCAUCAAAAAGAAUCCUAGUUAGGGCUGUCACAUCCCCCGGCGGCUCUGACCAUCUCAGAAUACAUCUCUACAUGAGGAAGGAAAGUGGCCUGCUCAUGGGAGUCAUAUUCAAUGAGGCCCAGUGACUCUUUGCAUUUUAAACGUUUCGGAGCACGAGAGUGGCAGACGACGCCAGCAGAGCGCUGUCCCUUGUCGGUCUUUCUCAUUUCUCUGCUCUUCAGCCCUAUGGCUGCCUGGGAGAAGAGCAUAAAACCUCCCAGACUAUGUCUAAUUGUGUAAUCCCAGAAGAAUGCUGAUUUCACCAAUGAAGUGGCUAAUCAUAAGAGCUCAGAAGCAGACAUUUCAAAGUGUCUCAGACCUAAAAGGAAAAGAAGGCCUUGGAAUGUUCAGAAGAGGCUUCUGACUGGCCUGGAACCAAUCCCUUAGGCCCUGAGGGAGGACGAUUCUGUAUCAGCCAUAUAAAUGUUAGAUUUUAUUGCAUAUCUGUAUGGUUAGUAAAAUUGAUUUCAAAAAGUAUAUUUAAGUACUUUUAUAAAAUAAUACAUAUCUAUGGUUAGAAAAAUCACACUGUAGAUUUAGCUUGCUUAACAUUGUUGGUGCGCCUGCCAAUAUACACUUUUGUUCACUACUUUUAGAUCUUUAAGAUAACCUUUGUCACUUGAAUAAUAUGCUUAUGCUUUUAUUUGUUGUUUCAACUUCUAUAAAUGGCAUCUUUUAACACUCUAACUUAUAAAUGGGACUAUUACCUUUGUUAUCCUUAUUUUUACCUCUUCUUUCCCCUUCUACCUCUUUCAUCAGUUCUUUUGCAUUUUAAUUGUUAGGGUCAAACUGAGAUAUAAAAGGGGAGAGGAGGAGACCAUCAGAUGAAGUCAGGAACGAAGUUUUAAAGAAAAUAUGAUUUUUUCAAACAGUGUAUUUUCUCUGGCUUUUACUUCUUCGAUUGUCUACCUCGGGGCUUUCAAACUUUGCUGUGUGUGUAUAAGAAUUAGCUGGAGUAUUUCUUCAAUAUAUAGUUUCCUAAUAUUCAAGCCCUAGAAAUUCUUGUUCUGUAUCUUUUGGGUGGACAUGGAAAUCUUCAUAUUUAACAAGCACUGCAGACAAUUCUGAAGCAGGUGGCCUCUGAGCACACUGCACAGAAUAUUGAACCUUGUUUCCCUAGGUGAUAAAUAGUAACUCUUCUUUUGGCCCAAGACAGCAGAAGAUGCCAUUACAAAUGUGGGCCAUGUGCAUCCUAAAUCUAUUGGAAUGACCAGCUUAUCUAGAGACCAUACACAGUCAUCCAGCUCUGGAGUUGUUGGAAAUAAUUGGAACUCAAAGAUGGAAUCCAGGAAAUAUAUUUGUAGUGUUGAAUAACUUCACCCAUCAUGCACAAGCUUAUGCCCUGGGUUAAUAGAAAGCACUAAGUUGUCGCACACCCUGAAGGAGAUCUUUCAACGAGAACCAGCUGCUUUAGGAAGAGGUUCACCUAGUCUUUGUAGAGGUAACUGGAGCUGCUCCCCAGCAAGACUGCUAACCUGAUAGGUUUACUGAACUCUAAAAAAGAAAUGGAGGAUAUUUUCCCUUGAACAGAAGAGCUGAGGGAGCUAGCACGUGGCAUUCCAGUUACAUACUUCUAGUAUGCUAGGAGAGAUGCCACUGGAAUUUUCCCUUAAUUUUGAUGUCGGCAGAAACCUUAGAUGUCUGUCCAUGCCUACUUUUGGAUGGAUAAGUGGUAUACUAUAGCGAACCUCACUUUGUUUGCAGCUCACUUCAGGGACAAAUUCCAGGACAUGACAGACAUAUCUCUGUUCAUCACCACCCACCCAGUGAGGAUUCAGUCAGGAAAGCAGAAGCACUGUGAGUGCUCUGAAUUAGGGUGUCUUACACAAUUGCAAAGAUUUUGGGGUACGUGAAGAUCUAGAAGAGGGUGCUGGAGGGUCGGAGAAAGAACACUAACCAGUAUUCCUGAAGUGCUGGUGUGGGUGAGGGAAAUAGGAGAAGCCAUGUUGGAGGACUCUCAUGAGGCCCUGGCUCUCAUCCUUCUAUGGCAGGGCAGAGCAAAGAGCAGACCAGAUGAACCGGGUGCCGGUGGUGGGGGAAAGCAUGCAUGAGGAUGUUUCUUGUGGACCAGACGUGAGUCCCCAAGGAGAGAAAGCUGUUCCGGAGCCACUUUAAAUCCUGUUUGAGAGGAUACUGCCACAGGGGAUAGACUCCUGGAUUUACAGGGACAGAAGGACCAAACAUGGCUGCUGGAGGAAAUGUUAUUGCUGCUGUCUCUAUAAGUGGAGUCAGUUGUUCUCAGACUAGACUGAGCCACACGUGCCAUCCAAAGAAAGGAGUCAGCAGUAGCCAUGCCUCCCAGUGAGAGAGAACUGACUUCCGCAACUGCUGGAAGAAACCAGCACCGGAUUAUUCUUUUUCUGCCAUUUACCUUUCUUAUUGCUCCAAACCUGCCUAAAUCAGAGUUAGAAACUGAGUUGGGGGGAGAAGCAGUAAGGUAGGGAAAUUGAGAAGCCUCCUGAGCUUCUCGAACCUAGGAGAGGCAAGACACUUUAACGUUAAAAAAUAAAAUUCAGGCUUUAGAAAAUUGCACUAGGCUGGACAUAUUUAUUACUGUUCUUACGCUUGAAAGUGAAUGGAGAUCUUUUUAUUACCUCAUAGUGAUUAAAGAAGUUAUGGACUUUAUCAGAGAUCUCAUGCAGGGAUAGGAAAAUAACUAGGCUCAGAAUGAGUUUAAAGGUCAGUAGGGCAAAGAAUAAAGUUGUUUUCUGAUUGAGCCAAAUGGUCUUGAAUGUUCAGCUUAGUAAAAAAAAAAUCAAGUAACACAUAGUAUGUAGAACCAGCUUUUCUUGACUCUACUUACUUUAAAGAUGAGCAGAAAAAAGGACUUUCUGAGUAUGUGAAAGAUUUCACUAAAGUAAGUAAAUGCAGUUGUGUGUAGUUUUAGAAGUAUCAGAUAGUACAAAAUUGAGUCUUGCUGCAGAAACAAAGCUUCUUCAUUGGCACUGGGGCUGCUGCCACGCCCUCAGUCACCUGUCUGUAGUUUUCAGAAAGUGCCUCUCACCUCCCGUGAGGCUUGGCUCAGGCAGUAGCUAAGCCUCUGAUGAGAGUCUUUUCCUGCUUUGGGGAUUUGAAAGUGUCUACUGUUUUACUGUCUUCAUCUUUCCCCAGCCUGUAAAAUUCAUGCAGUUGAGUUGAAAUACAUGUUUUCUACUCAGGAAAGUAGAAAAUGAAAUCUCAGGGUGAUGUCAUCAGUCUAAAUUAUUUAAAUCUCAAUUCCUUUUGCCUGAAUUUAUAAACUUCUUCAUGCUGGUGAACCCUUAAAUCUAGUUGGAAAUGACAUGGCUUAUUCAAAAUAGGAUAAAAAAAUUCAGACAUAAAAAUAAGAAUAAAAGUAAACUGGAAUAUGACUUUUAAAUAACCCUAAUCUCUAUCCUACCCUUGGAAGCAAUCCUAAUUCUUUUGCUAAACCUAACCCUUAUCAUAAUCCUCCAAAUUAUCUUUAGGAAAAGAUCAAUUCUUAAUUGUGUUACUAUAAACAUUUUUAUUAAGCUGUGUAUUUCUGAAUACAAAGAAAUCCUGAGAAUGAAGCAUUUGGUUGAGCUAAAGUUGUGUUGCUAGUUCUUAUGAGCAUUGGUUUCUAUUCUUGCACUAAGUAUAAUCUCUCCAGGAGUGAAUUAAAAGCGACCAUGUGAGGAACGUCUUAUCUUUCCAGCCGGUUCACCUGUGCUCAUUGUCCCAUGCAGGGUGGCGUCAGUCCUCUCAGGGUUAAAAUACUGGUUAAACUUCUUGUGGCAUGCAAAUCUACCCUUAAAACCAAAUAGAGGGUCUUACUAGGCUGUCAUCCAAGAAUAUAAGUCCAAAAUGGCCCUAUUCCAGCUUUUUAAAAAUGCUCCUUUGAAAGAAGCAUCUAUUAGAAAAGACCAUCUCAGGGAAAUAAUUGACAUCGACUCCUCAGCAGGCUUUAAGUUGUGUCCUUGAGUUGGAUUCUACAUCUGAAAAGCAAUGCGCUUGGUGAUCAGCUUUGCCCUCUCCAGACGCCCUCCCUGUGUUGUGGCAUAAUGGGAUAUUCUCAGUUUUUAUGGAGGUCACAACAAGAAAGAGCCAUAUGAAAUUUGCUCCCUCAUUUACUCUGACACUGUCUAUUACAAUAUUUAAUGUGCUCUACAUAAAUCCUCAGAUGAGACAUUCUUUUAGAAUUUGGUUCCAGGUAAGAAAACUUGUCUCCCCUCAGGAACUCAUUGCUAAACUUCUUUCUUUCUGAUUCAGGUAAAUUACUAUGAUUUACUUGCUUACAUUUUAUUUUCGUGGUUCUGAAAUACUAUUGCAAUUUAUUAACCUUUUUAACCUGUAUUUUAUAUGUUGUUUCAAAUUAUUUUUGAGAAGGG
rnacentral:lncRNA from 1 species